GGGGACCAUAAAACUGAUUGUGUAUGUGAGAAAACUUGCUCAACAGGAUGUAGGCAAGUUGGGGGUUUAUCACAGCAUCUUAGCAAUUGGGAGGGUUUCUGUGGGGGCAGGUGAGAACCCAGGAUAAAGGAACACUGGACAAAUGUGAGGGGAAGCUGGGCAGCAGAGAGGGAGCUGGGCAGCUGAGAGGAGGCAGCUAGAGAGCUGGAGAAGCCAGAGGAGCCUGGGACAAGACAUGUGAGGAAUGAAGACCAGAGGGGAAGGCAGAGAUGAAGCCGAACUCUAUUCCCCUGCCUUUUUGCAACCCCUGGACUGCUGUUAUUUCCAAGUUGAGUAAUCUGUGCACCAGGAAACACCCAGGAUCCAUCUUCGGGUAAGUUGUUUAAAGGGGCCACUACACACUGCUAGGAGUUUCAGGGAGUUGCCCAUAGCUUCAGGGUGCCCAAGAUACACUGGAAGCAAGUUACACUAUUUCCACACAUCUCAGGCCCACUCACGUGUGCUCUAUAUUUGAGGGCUUGAUGAACUGUUAAUUGAACUGAGAGGGAAAAAAAGGUGUAACAGCCGCUGCAGUGACGACAUGAUAGGAAAAAGGCAUUGGGGCCUAGUCCAUGCUGCAGCCUGAGUUCCAUGCUGACUAAAUUUUUACUGCCGCUGGAGAGGACUGACUGGAAAAUUGAGAGCCAAACACUGAGCAGGCUCAGUGGACCAAUCAGGGCAGAGGAAUGCCUGGUGCCAAAAGAGACGUAGCAAGUCACACAAGAGUGGGCAAGUGACAUGAAGAUCCACCAUCGGCACCACCCUGGGAUAGGACCGUCCAGGGUUGGGUUUGAGCCAAUCAGGACAAGCAGAUUUGGUGCCAGCGAGCAGAGGCGGGACUGAGACAGUUUACAUCACAGUGGCCAUCUUAAGGUGCACUUCUCAGGCCCACCCACAGCUGUGCUACACAUACUUUUUGGCUAUUGUUUUAAUCACAAAAAAAAAUGGAUUUGUCAGAUAAGUAUAUUACCGGCAAACAGAGAAGCUAUUCACAGAACUCAAGUUAAACAGGGGCUAUACUGCCCCUAUACACAUGAAAAUAACUGUGCUGUAAAGGAGAAUUCAACCAUUUAGCCAAAAAAAAAACCCUACCCCCCACCCCAUGUAGACCA